rnacentral:rRNA from 1 species
UACCAGCACCCCGAGUGGUCGGGACGAUUAUUGGGCCUAAAGCAUCCGUAGCCGGUACUGCAAGUCUUCCGUUAAAUCCACCUGCUCAACAGUUGGGCUGCGGAGGAUACUACAGCGCUAGGAGGCGGGAGAGGCAAGCGGUACUCAUUGGGUAGGGGUAAAAUCCGCUGAUCCAUUGAAGACCACCAGUGGCGAAGGCGGCUUGCCAGAACGCGCUCGACGGUGAGGGAUGAAAGCUGGGGGAGCAAACCGG